rnacentral:lncRNA from 1 species
GUGCCAAAUACGGCUAAGGUAAUCUAUGCCUGGGAUAAGAAAAUCCUUAGUUUUUUCGAAAAAUUCAAAGUUUUGUAAACAGGAAAUUUAUAAAAUGACCACAUUAUUGAUAUUCAUGUCAACACUUAAUCGCUUAAGUGUUGACUACUGGGUUGGUGAUACCCUCGGGGACGAAACGUCCACCAGCAGUGGUAUCGACCCAGUGGUGUAAAU